UACGUAGGGCGCAAGCGUUAUCCGGAAUUAUUGGGCGUAAAGAGCUCGUAGGCGGCUUGUCGCGUCGACUGUGAAACCCGAGGCUCAACUUCGGGCUUGCAGUCGAUACGGGCAGGCUAGAGUUCGGUAGGGGAGACUGGAAUCCUGGUGUAGCGGUGAAAUGCGCAGAUAUCAGGAGGAACACCGAUGGCGAAGGCAGGUCUCUGGGCCGAUACUGACGUGAGGAGCGAAAGCGUGGGAGCGAACAGG
rnacentral:rRNA from 1 species